GUCUAUGGCCAUACCACCCUGAAUGCGCCCGAUCUCGUCUGAUCUCGGAAGCUAAGCAAGGUCGGGCCUGGUUAGUACUUGGAUGGGAGAAUUGGCAUGUUUAUAAU
rnacentral:rRNA from 1 species